AAUUCGAAAACUGUAUUUUUCGUGGCUUAUGAGUGGCCUUUGAGGUAAUACAGGCUUGAUUUGUUGAUUUCAGGAAAUGUACUCUGUUGUCCAUUUAUUUGUUGCUUUAUUUGUUGAUUUCAGGAAAUGUACUCUGUGGUCCAUUUUUUGGCGGAAAAUGAUGUUGCAGUUGUUCCUACCUGUUGGGCGUCCAAUGGCCGCACGGCAUGGCCACCCUACAGAUCAAAUCGGUUGAUGAUGGCAAUUGAGAGCGUGAAGAGCCCUUUACUGACUGGGCCACAUUCUCCUGUCAGGUGAUGGCAUCAUGUUUGACAUAUGAAGAUGCAAAGUUCAAAGAAAAAAAAUCCGGAAGCGACGUCCGACCUAUCAACGAAUAAUGAAGAGCGGGAGAAAAGAAAAAGGAAGAGACUGCUCCUUUUCGGUCAAGCUUGCCUCUUCUGCAGGAACGACCUAGCACUCAGCCAGCCCCUCAACUUCCAGAACGUGCACCAGUGCCCAAGCAAAAACGCACACGUGAGCAGCGUGCCUCUUCCCAGGAGUGACUGAGGGGCUGCCACAAGGGGAGAAGGCAAGCAUGUUUCUGAUUACAAGAAUGGACAGUUGGGCUGGGCUAGUUGGUAAGAAUUGAUGUUGAAAAACGGUGCAAAAACCAGACAAAGAGAAAAGAACACACAGCACCUUGUCCUGUGUGUUCUCUUAUCCGUGCAUUUUGCACUGUUUUUCAGCAUGUUUGUGCCUUGAUUUUUCUGUUAUAGUUUUAAAUGUCUGUAGUUGGUUACUUUGAUCCCUGUUGGAAGCAUGGAAUUGGUUAACCGUCUUAAAUGCAUGGAAUUGAAAAAAAAAAUUCAUGUUACCUAACUCAUUUAAAAGCUUUUUUUUCUGCUGCUUGCUGCUUGCUUUAUGUUGCUGGGAAUUUUAAUAUUUUGCAUUUUUAUUUCCAUGCAGAUCAGCCUUGUAAUUUAGCGUGUUCUUUACAAUUUUGUAGAUCUAAUAGCUUGUAAGAAACAGAAGCAUACACUGGUACUUGUAACGUUUGUUUCGUUUUUGAAAUAAAUUUAUUCCAAUAACCUCUUGUUUUCUUCCGGAGUCUUGCUUCUAGGACUUCAAAAUGCUGAUUCAUUAAUGGCCUGUAAUGCUCAUCCAUUUACUCAUAUCAGGCACCAGCUCAAAAAAUGACUUCAUGACAACCAUAUAUGCAGUUUCUUGGCAAAGCUUGUCAAUGUUAGUAAUUUUCGGGUAACAUUGUUCAAUAAUGUCCAAGUAACACAUGCAGUAAUAUCUGGCCAGUGCCAGCAUUUUGUUAAAAUGUUUACUGAAAGUUGACAGAAUAAAAGCACUGAGGACAAACACAGAUGACCGCUCUUUCAUUUAGUUGUGACGCUUGUUUUUUGGAAGCAAAGACUCGCACAC
rnacentral:lncRNA from 1 species